GGAGAGGUGCAGGAGUGGUUGAACUGGCUGCUCUCGAAAAGCAGUAAGCCGCAAGGCUUCGAGGGUUCGAAUCCCUCCCUCUCCGCCA
rnacentral:tRNA from 1 species